AUUACAUCUUCAUAAGGAUCUGACUUAUGAGGAGUAUUCGAUACAAAUUGUCGAUAGGAAGGAUCAGGUAUUACGCCAUCGAACCAUACUUUAUGUGAAAGUAUAGUGUAGCAAUUAUAGUGAAAGAAAGGCUACUUGGGAGCUCGAAGCAAAAAUAAGAGUCAAAUACCAAUAGCUCUUCAAAACUUCAGAUACACUAAUUUCGAAGAUGAAAUUAUUUUAAGGGAAGAGAAUAUAAUAACCCGACAUUGGCUAGCAAAAAAAAAAGGUCAUGUGCAGUGCAUGUGAGGCAAAGAACGGAAGGCUCCCAAAGGGAGUCUUCCUCUUCUCCGACCCCAUCAAGGAGGAGAAGUAGAGCCUUCCUCUUCUCUGACUCCAUCGAGGAGGAGAAGUUUGAUUUCUCCUCCAAACAAAGAGAUUUUUGCCUAUAAAUAAGAGACCCCUUGGGAGCCUUCCUCUUCUCCGACUCCAUCGGGGAGGAGAAGUUUGAUUUCUCCUCCAAACAAAGAGAUUUUUGCCUAUAAAUAAGAGACCCCUCUCCCUCCUUGUUUCUCACCUCAAAUCUUUGAAGUAAUCGCCACCAAUUUUAAGAUCUUUCAUUAAGCUUUUUUUCUUGAGUUUCCAUCGAAGAGAAUCACCGGAUCUCUCACUGUGGGUGUCAUCGUAUCGGGGUAAGACCUUCUCCCUUCCCUCUUUCUUUUCUAGUGUCACCGUC
rnacentral:lncRNA from 1 species